ACUCAAAGGAAUAGACGGGGGCCCGCACAAGCGGAGGAACAUGUGGUUUAAUUCGAUGAUACGCGAGGAACCUUACCUGGGCUUAAAUGUAGAGUGCAUUAGGUGGAAACACUUAUUCCCUUCGGGGCUCUUUACAAGGUGCUGCAUGGUUGUCGUCAGCUCGUGCCGUGAGGUGUCGGGUUAAGUCCCAUAACGAGCGCAACCCCUAUCGUUAGUUGCCAGCGGGUAAAGCCGGGGACUCUAGCGAAACUGCCGGUGUAAACCGAGAGGAAGGUGGGGAUGACGUCAAAUCAGCACGGCCCUUAUGUCCAGGGCUACACACGUGUUACAAUGGCCAGUACAGUGGGCAGCUACCAUGUAAAUGGAUGCUAAUCUCCAAAGCUGGUCUCAGUUCGGAUUGGGGUCUGCAACUCGACCCCAUGAAGUUGGAUUCGCUAGUAAUCGUAUAUCAGCCAUGAUACGGUGAAUACGUUCCCGGGCCUUGUACACACCGCCCGU
rnacentral:rRNA from 1 species